ACACAGAGAGAUGGAGAAUGGGAGCUAUUUUGCAGUUUGCUGUACAAGCCACGGCAGACUGCACAUGGAUAGUUGCACCACUGCACGCCCUAGUGUAUGAUACAACAGAGGCACAGACAGGCUUACUCAGAUCACAUUGCCAGUGAAUAAUGGAUCCAGGAUUCAAGUUGGCAUUUUGACCCAAAUCUGCAGCCUUAACCAUGAUGACACACUGUCCCUGUAUGUAUUAUUUCUAAUGCUGCCUGACGCACAUAUUCUAG
rnacentral:lncRNA from 1 species